rnacentral:rRNA from 1 species
ACGCUCGACACCUACUGGAGGCAGCAGUGGGGAAUAUUGCACAAUGGGGGAAACCCUGAUGCAGCGACGCCGCGUGAGUGAAGAAGUAUUUCGGUAUGUAAAGCUCUAUCAGCAGGGAAGAAAAUGACGGUACCUGACUAAGAAGCCCCGGCUAACUACGUGCACAGCCGCGGUAAUCUGAGCGGGCUGGCAAGGC